rnacentral:rRNA from 1 species
AUUAUUAUAAGUAAAAUCUGCUCCAUGUAAAAUAAAUAGCCGCAGAAAUUUUACUGUGCUAAGGUAGCAUAAUCAUUAGCCUUCUAAUUAAGGGCUGGAAUGAACGAUUUAACAAUUUAAUUACUCUUAAACUAAAAAAUUUGAAAUUUUAUUAAAUAUAAAAAUAUAUUUAUAUAAAAAAAAGACGACAAGACCCUUUCGAACUUUACUUCAGUUUAGCUGGGGCAGCUAAUUAAAAAUAAUUUUAAUUUAAAUAUUAAAACAAAAGACCCAAUAAAAUUGAUUAUUAGAACAAGUUACCAAAGGGAUAACAGCGCAAUAUUUUUCUGAAGCUCUUAUAUAAAAAAAUGAUUACGACCUCGAUGUUGAAUUAAUUUCCCUUUAGGCGCAAUAGCUUUAAUAGGGGGUCUGU